rnacentral:lncRNA from 1 species
CAACUUUCCUGGGUCUCUCCAUGCAGUCCUUCUUUUUAUGUGUCAGCGCACCACAGUUCUCACAAGCUCCUUUCCGAUAUCUGGUAGCUAUAGAGUGCUCUUUCACUCCCCGUUUGUACCAGUCUCCUGAGGAGCUGUACUGCUUCUGCUUCUCUGGCUGAGGCCUCUGAUGCUUUAGGGUUGGUCUUUUGGAAGGAUCUAUGUACCACGGGACUGAAGAUAUGUACUGAGGAAUGUGAGGAUUGAUAUCCUUUCCUUCCUCAUCCACCUCAGCAGGCGCAUUCCCCAGCUUCCUCUGUUCCUCCAAUUCCUUCUUUUUCCUCCAGUCCUCCCUCGUCAUCUUCUUCGGCUCCUCCAGGCUCACAUCGCCCGGCCCUCCCGAAGGAGCUGCGUUUACCGCUGUCCCA